CUGCGAGAUGAAGCCGCGKGAAAAGCUCAAAUUUAAAAUCUGGCAGUCUCUGGCUGUCCGAGUUGUAAUCUAGAGAAGUGUUAUCCGCGCUGGACCAUGUACAAGUCUCCUGGAACGGAGCGUCAUAGAGGGUGAGAAUCCCGUCUUUGACAUGGACUACCAGGGCUUUGUGAUGCGCUCUCAAAGAGUCGAGUUGUUUGGGAAUGCAGCUCAAAAUGGGUGGUAAAUUCCAUCUAAAGCUAAAUAUUGGCGAGAGACCGAUAGCGAACAAGUACCGUGAGGGAAAGAUGAAAAGAACUUUGGAAAGAGAGUUAAACAGUACGUGAAAUUGUUGAAAGGGAAACGCUUGAAGUCAGUCGCAUUGGCCAGGGAUCAACCUUACAUUUGUUGGGUGUACUUUCUGGUUAAUGGGUCAGCAUCAAUUUUGACUGUUGGAAAAAGGUCAGGGGAAUGUGGCAUCUUCGGAUGUGUUAUAGCCCUUGGUUGUAUACAGCAGUUGGGAUUGAGGAACUCAGCACGCCGCAAGGCCGGGUUUUUACCACGUACGUGCUUAGGAUGCUGGCAUAAUGGCUUUAAUCGACCCGUCUUGAAACACGGACCAAGGAGUCUAACAUGCCUGCGAGUGUUUUGGGUGGAAAACCCAUGGCGCGUAAUGAAAGUGAAAGUUGAGAUCUCUGUCGUGGAGAGCAUCGACGCCCGGACCAGACCUUUUGUGACGGUCCCGCGGUAGAGCAUGUAUGUUUGGGACCCGAAAAGAUGGUGAACUAUGCCUGGAAUAGGGUGGAAGCCAGAGGAAACUCUGGUGGAGGCUCGUAGCGAUUCUGACGUGCAAAUCSRACUCGUCGAAUUUGGGUUAUAGGGGCGA
rnacentral:rRNA from 1 species